CUACGGGAUGCUCCAGUGGGGAAUAUUGGACAAUGGAGGCAACUCUGAUCCAGCAAUUCCGCGUGAAUGAUGAAGGUCUUCGGAUUGUAAAAUUCUUUUAGUUGGGAAGAUAGUGACGGUACCAACAGAAAAAGCACCGGCUAAUUACGUGCCAGCAGCCGCGGUAAGACGUAAGGUGCAAGCGUUAUCCGGAAUUACUAGGCGUAAAGGGCAUCUAGGCGGUUAAUUAAGUCAGAGGUGAAAAGUCAGGGCUCAACCUUGGCCUUGCCUUUGAUACUGGUUAACUAGAGUACGGGAGAGGAGGGCGGAACUACAAGUGUAGCGGUGAAAUGCGUAGAUAUUUGUAGGAAUGCCAAUGACGAAGGUAGCUCUCUGGACCGAUACUGACGCUAAAGUGCGAAAGCUAGGGGAGCAAACAGGAUUAGAUACCCGAGUAGUC
rnacentral:rRNA from 1 species